rnacentral:rRNA from 1 species
GUGUCAGCAGCCGCGGUAAGACAGAGGUGGCGAGCGUUGUUCGGAAUUACUGGGCUUAAAGGGCGAGUAGGCGGUGGAGCAAGUCUGAGGUGGAAUCCUAUGGCUUAACCAUAGAACUGCCUUGGAUACUGUUUCACUUGAGUCAGUGAGGGGAGGGCGGAAUUCCCGGUGUAGCGGUGAAAUGCGUAGAUAUCGGGAGGAAGGCCAGUGGCGAAGGCGGCCCUCUGGUGCUGAACUGACGCUGAGGCGCGAAAGCGUGGGGAGCAAACAGGAUUAGAUACCCCCGUAGUCC